rnacentral:rRNA from 1 species
AUUGAACGCUGGCGGCAUGCCUAACACAUGCAAGUCGAACGAGUGGCGGACGGGUGAGUAAUGUCUGGGAAACUGCCUGAUGGAGGGGGAUAACUACUGGAAACGGUAGCUAAUACCGCAUACUAUUGGAUGUGCCCAUAUGGGAUUAGCUAGUUGGUGGGGUAACGGCUCACCAAGGCGACGAUCCCUAGCUGGUCUGAGAGGAUGACCAGCCACACUGGAACUGAGACACGGCCCAGACGCCGACGGGAGGCAGCAGGGGGGAAUAUUGGACAAUGGGGGAAAGCCUGAUGCAGCCAUCCCGCGUGUAUGAUGAAGGCCUUCGGGUUGUAAAGUACUUUUGGCAGGAAGGCGGUACCGGCAGAAGAAGCACCGGCUAACUACGUGCCAGCAGCCGCGGUAAUUC